CAUUUUUUAUACACAUCACAUUUUUUUGACAUUCUUGUUUGAAGCUAAGAGACAAUCAUCCAAACUUCACUACUCAUUCUUAAUUUCUGCCUGCAGCUGCAACAAUAUGAAAAAGUUCUUCGAGAAACAACUGAUGAAUAUAACAAUAGGAAUAGCUAAACUUUUGGACAUGGAAUCGGAUGUCGAAGAAGAAAAGGAGAAUCUGAUUUCAUUAAGAGAUCGUUUGCUUGUAGCAGUUGAAGCAACUGAUGAUUAUAAAACUAAAAAUAUCAACGAUGAAGUGUUUGUGUGGCUAAAUGAAACAGAGAUACUCAUACAAGAGGCGGAGAAACUUACGGCUCAAACAGAAACACCACAACAAAAGAAAGAAUGUAAGAAAUUGCUGAGAAAAUUAUUGGCACACCAGUUUAACUUUUCUGGGUUUUACCCAGUAAUUUUUGAGUCCUUCUCUAAUGGAAAUAUUCAUGGGUCACAAUUUGUAUGUUUUAAUUCUAGAGAGAAGGCAUCGAGUCAACUUUUAGUGGCACUGCAAGUUCAUAAGUGCUCUUUGAUUGGAUUGUAUGGUAGGUCAGGCUCAGGUAAAACAACAUUGGUGAAAGCAGUCAGUGAAAAACUUAAGGAUAUAUGUGGCCUUAAGGUUUUAUUUGUUAAGGUGACCGAAAAUUCAAAUAUCAGAACAAUGCAAGAUGAAAUUGCUGACUCGUUGAAUAUUAAAUUUGAUAAAAACAGUGAAGCUGGAAGAGCCAGAAUAAUAUUCUCAACAAUAGAACGUAUGUAUAAAAUUCUAGUGAUUUUCGAUGAUGUUCCAGCAAAAUUCAACCCUGAGGAUGUAGGCAUUCCUUGUAAUAGUGAACACUGUAAGAUCCUUUUGACCACAUGUUGCCAACAAGGUAGCGACUUUAUGUAUUGUCAAUGCGAUAUUCAACUUGGUCCGUUAUCUACAGAGGAAUCUUGGACUUUGUUCCAAAAACAUUCAGGUAUUGACGAUCAGGAGUACUCCUCCUCAUAUGACUUAUCGAAUGUGGCACGCGAAGUUGCUUUUGAAUGUGAAGGGUUACCCGGAAAAAUUAAAGAUGUGGGAUGUUCCUUAAAAAGUAAACCAAUUGAAGAAUGGAAAGCAACACUAGAUAGUCUGAAACAUUCGAUGGGCAAAUGGCAAAUUUUCCUCAGUUUUAGAGGAGAUGAUACACGCUACGGUUUUACAGGGAAUCUUUAUAAAGAUUUAUGUCAAGGGGGAUUCAAGACCUUCAUGGAUGAUGGAGGACUACAAACCGGAGACCAAAUCUCACCCUCUCUUCUAAAUGCAAUUGAAGCAUCAAGACUUUCAAUUAUUGUUUUAUCUGAAAACUAUGCAAAUUCGUCAUGGUGUCUUGAAGAACUUGUCAAGAUUAUGGAGUGUAUGAAAUUGAAGAAGCAAUUAGUUUGGCCAAUCUUUUACAAAGUGGAGCCAUCAGACAUAAGGCAUCUGAAAAAAUCUUAUGGCAAAGACAUGGUUCAGCAUGAAAAUAAUUACGGAAUUAAUUCAGAGAGAGUACAAAAAUGGAAGUCAGCUUUGUUUGAAGUGUCUAAUUUAUCCGGAAAGACUUACAAAACCGGGUAUGUAAUAUACUUCAAAAGACUUUUAUUUGCAUUAUUCCAUAAUAACCAAAUUUUAAUCUACUAGUGAUGGCUGCUAAAAAUAUGAUAUAGUAUAAUUCCAUUCUUUUAAAGGUAUGUGAAUUGUUAAAAAUGAAAUAUGGCCUUCUUUAUAGCGCCAUCAAUUUAAACGUAUCAUUUGACUAACAAGAAAUUUAGACAUGGAAUAUUUUAUAGUAUAAGUUAUGUGAAAGCUUGUUCUUGUGAAAAUUUGAUAGUCAUUUUAAACUUUAUAUAUAUGUUUUUUGACUAAAUAAAUUCAAAACUACUUGCAUGACUGAAUUGAAAGAUCUUGUACAUACUU